GCAGGUGCCUGAGAAACCAUUGUGAUUUGGAGAAAGGAAGCGAUACCCUGGUAAUAGAUGUAGCUCUCCUGGCUGGAGGCUGCAUGUCCUAACUGGGAACAAUGAAGACACUUCCCAGACCUUUGUUCCUGGUCUUGUGGCUGCAGCUGCACUGUAUGAGUAGAGGAGAAGAGGUGGAGCAGCAUCCUUCUUUUCAGACUGUCCAGGAAGGAGACAGCUUUGCAAUCAACUGCACCUACACAGACAGUGCCUCCACCUACUUUUAUUGGUAUAAGCAAGAACCUAGAAAAGGUCUCCAGUUGCUUAUGCAUAUUCUUUCAAAUGUGGAGCAGAAAAAAGAAGAAAGACUCACGGUACUAUUGGAUAAGAAGGAUAAACAUCUCUCCCUGCACAUAACAGCCACCCAUUCUGGGGACUCAGCCACCUACUUCUGUGCAGUAAGAGCACAGUGGUCCUCAGACACCUGCAGCCUGGAACCAAACCUGAGACAGGAUGAAGCCCCACUCUUUUCUCUUUGCCAAAUAUUUCUUAGAUAUCUGGGCUUUAAGGUUAACCUUAAACGUACCAUUCAGAGUUCUCCCCUACCAAGGACGUCUUGA